GCCAUCCAGAUACUUCCAAUGAAGGAAUUUAUCUCAGAAGACUUGGGGUCUGGGAGAAAACCUUGACUUUUCAAAGCUGCCAGUACCUGAAAGUGCAAGGGGAGGCUUAAUGUGUGUCUGAGCACAGAGAGAUGUAUUGCACCCUUUGGUUCCCCUAAAACUCUUCUCUUACGCAGGUCGUAAUGAUAUUGUUAGUUAGUUCACAUCAUCAUAAAAAAAAUUCCAGAGGGCUGUGUGUCCUCCAUAGACAUUCGAAUUUGUCUUCGCUUGUUUGUGAGAAGGUAUCCUGGAAGAAUCCCCAGACUACUUUCUGAUCCCAUUUCAUAAUGCAGAUUGGGAGCAUCACUUCUGAACAAGAGAGGGGGAAGGGGAGAAUAGCACCUGUAUGCUAGUGGCAUCUCUCUCCUACCUCUCUAAGGUGCGACUUACCUCCUUGUCCAAGGCUGAGGAAAACACAGACAGUAAGAAGGCAAACCUGGGCCACAGAAGGCCUUUGAAUCACCAGGAAGAAGCUGCCCUCCAUUGGAUGGCCUUUUGGCAUGGAAAAAGAGACACUAACCUCUCCUCAGUGGCCAGGAAAAAAAACUCAGAGCAGCUAUCUGUGAGGCUCCCACGAUCUCCCACUUGAGUACUGCUGAGGUUCACACCUCCUUUGCUUCCCCAGCUACUGUAUGACUUGGUCCUCCCAGAUCAUCUGAUGGGCUUAUUUUUGCUUUGGCCAAUGUCUGCUGGCACAAGUGAUAAAGAGUCUUUAAGUUCAUGUGCAGACAUAAUUCUUCAGAAAGGCACAGCAGCAUGAGACCUUUCCGCACAAUCCUUAUGUUGUGCAUUAAAUGUGCGUUGCUUCUCAUUGGUUGUGCUUACUUGGCACGUUCGUAUGAAUAAAUGUUUAUUUUCAAGG